rnacentral:rRNA from 1 species
CACAUGCAAGUCUCAGCAAUCCAGUGAGAACGCCCUUAAAACUCCUUGCAGGUCAAGGAGUCGGCAUCAGGCACAAUAAUUUGCCCACAACGCCUAGUUUUACCACAUCUUCACAGAUCUUCAGCAGUGAUAAAAAUUGUUUAUAAGCGCCAGCUUGAAUCAGUUAAAGAAAAGAGAGCCGGCCAACCCGGUGCCAGCCGCCGCGGCUAUACCGCCGGGCUCAAGUUGAUACCAAUCGGCGUCAAGCGUGAUUAAAGAAAGAUUAAAAUUAGAACUAAAUUUAAGCUAGGCCGUAAAAAGCCUGCCUCUUAGAAACUCAAACACGAAAGUUGUUCUAAUUGUCUCUUGAACACACGACAAUUUGGGCACAAACUGGGAUUAGACACCCCACUAUG